rnacentral:rRNA from 1 species
UACCCUUGACAUGUCGGGAACUUUCCAGAGAUGGAUUGGUGCCCGAAAGGGA